rnacentral:rRNA from 1 species
AACGAACGCUGGCGGCAGGCCUAACACAUGCAAGUCGAACGCCCCGCAAGGGGAGUGGCGCACGGGUGAGUAACGCGUGGGAAUAUGCCCUUCGGUUCGGAAUAACACAGGGAAACUUGUGCUAAUACCGGAUACGAUCUACGGAUGAAAGAUUUAUCGCCGAGGGAGUAGCCCGCGUAGGAUUAGCUAGUUGGUGAGGUAAUGGCUCACCAAGGCGACGAUCCUUAGCUGGUCUGAGAGGAUGAUCAGCCACACUGGGACUGAGACACGGCCCAGACUCGUACGGGAGGCAGCAGUGGGGAAUAUUGGACAAUGGGCGAAAGCCUGAUCCAGCCAUGCCGCGUGAGUGAUGAAGGCCUUAGGGUUGUAAAGCUCUUUCGCCAGGGAAGAUAAUGACGGUACCUGGAAAAGAAGCCUCGGAUAACUCCGUGCCAGCCGCCGCAGUAA